rnacentral:rRNA from 1 species
UACGAAGGGGGCUAGCGUUACUCGGAAUUAUUGGGCGUAAAGCGUGCGCAGGCGGCUACGUAAGUUGGAAGUGAAAUCCUUAAGCUUAACUUAAGAACUGCUUUCAAAACUACGUAGCUUGAGUGCCAGAGGGGAUAGUGGAAUUCCUAGUGUAGAGGUGAAAUUCGUAGAUAUUAGGAGGAACACCGGUGGCGAAAGCGACUAUCUGGCUGGAAACUGACGCUGUUGCACGAAAGCGUGGGGAGCAAACAGG